UCACCUGUAGGUUCCCCCCUCACCAGGGGCUUUGUGAAUGUGAUCUUGCUUGAGAGUCCUGGAGACAGAGAAACUGAGAGGAGAGGGGAUGCACAUGUGUACAUAUGCAUGCACGCGCACCCACAUGCACAGACACAUACUCACACAAGCUCACAUGCACACACGCACAUGCUCAGACACACACGCACACACAUGUGCGCACACACAUGCACACACACAAGCUCAUAUGCUCAGACACACGCACACACAUGCACGCACACAAUACACACAUAUGCACACACACACACACACACACCUGUACUCCUGCAUCACCAGUUACAAAGCUUCCCCCCUGCAAGUGGAGGCCAGAGACUUGAACCCCGGCCCUUGUGCCUGGUAUGGUUGGCACUCCCCAGCUGAGCCUGCACACCUUUCUUUUUUGUUACAGUGUGAGUCAAGCAUAUCUUAACUGUCCCACUAGUCCCAGAGAGCUCUGCUCAGCUCUGGGUGAUGGUGGUGUGGGGGAUUGAACCAUGGAGCCUCUGGCUUGAGUGUCUCUUUGCAUAACCAUUAUGCUAUCUCCCCCCACCCCACCCAUAGUCCUUUUUUGUCUUUCUUUUUUUAAUCGUUACUUUCUAUUUAUUAUUGGAUGGAGACAGAAAUUGAGAGGGGAGAGACAGAGAGACACCUGCAGCCUUGCUACACCACUCGUGAAGCUUCUUCCCCCCUGCAGGUGGGGACCGGGGGCUUGGACCAGGGUCCUUGUGCACUGUGAUGUGUGCACUUAACCAGGCUGCUUGUGGAUUUGUGCAGCUUAUCAGCCUUAGUUCCUGAACACCCACCCCCCUAAAGCACACCCCCACCAUAAACAUCGCCUCACUCUACCUUUAGCCUCAGGAUGUGGCUCUUCUGCGUGUCUCCGUGUGGCCUUGCCUGGAUUCUAGAUGUUUCAGCAAAUGUGAGCUCCGUGACUGUUUUCUGUCUGUCUGGCCACGUGUGAGUGCCUCACUCCUUCCUGUGGCCUGUGGUCCAGGAAGAGGCUCAGUAGAUAAAGCAUUAGACUCAAGCAUGAGGUCCUGAGUUCAAUCCCCGGCAGCAUAUGUAUCAGAGAGAUGUCUGUUUCUUUCUCUCUCACCUAUUGUUCUCAUAAGUAAAAUAAAAUAAAAUCCCAGUUGCAGAGGCUGUGAGGUAGGCACAUUGGGUGAGCUCACAAGGACCUGGGGGGUUCAGGCCCCCAACCCCCACUUGCAGGGAGAAUCUUCACAAGUGACGGUGGUGCAAUGCUGCAGGUGUGUCUCUGUCCUCUGCCUCUCUGUUUCUCCCUCCUUGCUGUUUCUCUUAGCCCUAUAAAAGAAAAAAGAAAAAAACACACGUUACCGUGCAUAAAAACCUGGGUUUGAGCCCUUGGUCCCCACCUGCAGGGGAUAGCUUUUUGAAUGGUGAAGCAGGGCUGCAGGAGUCAGUCUCUGUCCCUUUCUAUCCCCCCCUUCUCUUGCUUUCUGGCUGUUUCUGUCCAAUAAACAGAGAUAGAAGAAUUAAAGGGGGGGUGAGUUGGGCGGUAGCGCAUCAGGUUAAGCUUACGUGCUGUGAAGCACAACGACUGGCGUGGAGAUCCUGGUUCGAGCCCCCGGCUCCCCACCUGCAGGGGAGUCACUUCACAGGCGGUGAAGCAGGUCUGCAGGUGUCUGUCUUUCUCUCCUCCUCUCUGUCUUCCCCUCCUCUCUCCAUUUCUCUCUGUCCUAUCCCACAACAACGACAGCUAUAACAACAACAAUAA